GUUUCCGGAACGGGAAUACUGGAUAGGUACUUAAUGAAGCAGCUAAGCCGACGGAGACAGUGACAGGCCUCAGGAUUUUAAUGAAGACCAACAGCAGUGCCCUGGCAUGAACAUAUUUUUCGAGCCUCAAAACCAGCCUCGCUUAUAUCGAGCCAUGGCUAAAACAACAGGUUAUCAUCAUCAUGGACUCCUAUACAUCUUACUCUGUCUCCAUUUCUUCGCUUCCAAUAUCAAAGUCAUCGUAUGAACAAUUCGCCACGUUGCAGAAGUAGCAGUUUUCGACCUAGUUCUAGUAUUUGAGGAUAUUAUUUAAAAUGAAACAGCUGAAUGGUUUUAUAACUGUUUCUGUUUUAUCAAUUGAUGAAAUUCUUGUCUGUUUACAAAAUAAACUCUGCAUAUAU